AACUGAGUUAUUUCUGGAGAAUCUGGUUAUGGUCGAUUUUGUUAUGGAGAUUCCUACAUAGUUUUGCAGGGUGCAUUUCAGUGAAGACAACGCAUGGGUCGUGUGCCACCCUUGUGCCAGCUUUGGAGCAGCUGGAGAAUGUGGACUCUGCGUUGAAGUUUCCGAAGUUUCCGACAGCUAUAUGUAAUUCGUCUAGCUGGCCCUUGUGUUUGAACAAAUUUUUAUUGAACGAACCAAGGCAUGUACACGUACUUGCUAAUUUUCUGUUGAUUUUGCUAGCAACCGGUGGUGGUUGUAUUGCUGUCCUACGGCUCAUUCAGCUAUUUCAUUUGUGUUGCUUGAUAAUUCACCGAUGAAAAUCUGUAACAACCGAACAACCUUUACUAGAUGGUAAACUUUCCUUCGGAUUU